UGUGUUCUUUCUUCAUCGACCAAGAAUUCUCUUAGAAAGCUUGUGAUUUUGGUUGUCUUCCAGAAUAAGUUAUCUGGUAAAAUUCCAUCAGCUGCUGGUGACUUCAGCGGUUGCAGUUAUUGAAUAUCUCAAGAAACUCAUUUUUACGCAGCAUUUCUGCAAGUCUUGAACGAUUGAAGAAAUUGCUAGGCAACAUUCCCAAGUCUAUUGGGAACUGCUCUUUACUGAUGACCUAGUCUUGGGCACACAACGAAAUAAGUGGCUAUAUUGCUGCAUCCCUUGCAAAUCUUGUUUACCUUGUUCAUAUUGUCGACUUCUCGUCUACUUUUACAAGUUACCAUAGUUUGAUUUUGGUGAUUUGCAAAUAUGAUUGCCAUUUCUUGUUCAUUCUUCUUUGCAUACAAAAAAUCUCUUAGCAACAUUUGUAAAUGAUAUCCUAGAAAAAGAUGAAUUAGAAACAUAUAUUGUUCAUCUUAGAGCAUUUGAUGCACAAGUUUUCAUAUUUAAAAAUAAAAGGUACCAUCUCAUCAGAUCUUGAGUGAACUUGUUAACUAGUGCGUUAAAUGCCCCAAUACGAACAAUAAAUGUUUUUAAUUCGUCUUUUUCUGGGAUAUCAAAUACAGAUGUUGUCGAGAAAUUAUGAAAAUUUUGUAUGCAAAUAAGAUGAACGAGAAAUGGAACCCUAUAUUUGCAAAUCACCAAAAUAAAACUGUGAAUUCUAUUACUUGUGAUUAGAUGAGGAAAUGGAGUUUCAAACUGCUUAACAUGAAGCAUGGAGCGCAGAGAGGCUAUUGCUGCUUUUGCUGGAGAAAAAAGAAGUUAUUUCCUCAUAGCAGUUCAUGCAGAUAUGGAAGUGUUUUUAAUAUGCAAAAUGAGCAUCUUAAAUUGUAGAAAGCAUCGUGCCUUAUAAAUCUUUCCUAUCUAUUUCUUAA